rnacentral:misc_RNA from 1 species
AGUUGAGUUGAGUUGAGUUGCACUACAACUCAGCAAAAUAAAGUCAUAUACAACUCCAUUUGUGAGGUAGAAAAUAACAGAAAGAUAAGACAUAUAUGGUGGUCCCAAAUGCAUCAAAUCAUUACAAUGUAAAACCUAAGCACUUAGGCAUGAAAUGAAAAUAGGGAAGUAAAUUUGUAAAUUAGAAAACUCAUAAUAGAGUUCGUACUUAACAAAAAUAGCAGAUCACAUGUAGCCAAGGAAUGAGGUGGAUUCAUUAAACACUCACGAAUGGAAUUAAUUCAAAAAUAACUAAAGCAAUGAUCCCAUUUUAUAUAUCAAAUCUAUAAUACUUUUUUCCCAUGGUAGAUAUCUUUCUGAUUUCAUUUAAUUUCAUAAUCUGGAGUAAUUAAUUUUUGGGAAUAUUACCAUCUAAAACUUUUUCUACUCAAGGAAAGAGUAGUCUAGAAAAAAUUCAGGAAGUAGAAAGAUGAAAGAUAGAAUUAAGUAGCACCCAAGGCACGGUUAAAUUGGUA